UGGGGAAUAUUGGACAAUGGGCGCAAGCCUGAUCCAGCAAUGCCGCGUGUGUGAAGAAGGCCUUCGGGUUGUAAAGCACUUUUAUCAGGAGCGAAACGCUGUCGGCUAAUACCCGGCGGAACUGACGGUACCUGAGGAAUAAGCACCGGCUAACUUCGUGCCAGCAGCCGCGGUAAUACGAAGGGUGCAAGCGUUAAUCGGAAUUACUGGGCGUAAAGCGUGCGUAGGCGGUUUCUUAAGUCUGCUGUGAAAUCCCCGGGCUCAACCUGGGAAUGGCAGUGGAUACUGGGAGGCUAGAGUGUGUCAGAGGGUGGUGGAAUUCCCGGUGUAGCGGUGAAAUGCGUAGAGAUCGGGAGGAACAUCAGUGGCGAAGGCGGCCACCUGGGACAACACUGACGCUGAGGCACGAAAGCGUGGGGAGCAAACAGGAUUAGAUACCCUGGUAGUCCACGCCCUAAAGCGAUGCGAACUGGAUGUUGGUCUCAACUCGGAGAUCAGUGUCGAAGCUAACGCGUUAAGUUCGCCGCCUGGGGAGUACGGUCGCAAGACUGAAAC
rnacentral:rRNA from 1 species